GAACCUUCAUAUGCUGCAUGUGUGGCCCUAAAAAGCAAAAAANNNNNAAAAAAAAAUUCAGUAUACAAAAGCCAAUGCUUGUGCUUUAAAUCAACAGUCAUCAAAAUGUACAGUUUUAGAAGUUGCCUGCUGUGGUGCAGUGGGUUAAUGACCUGGCGUCUGUGGUGGCACUGAUUUGAGCCUCUGCCUGGUGCAGUGGGUUAAGGAUUCAGUAUUGCUGCAGCUGUGGUGUAGGUCACAGCUCCAGUUUGGAUUUGAUCCCUGGCCCAGGAGCCUCCUUAGGCUGUGGAGGCAGCUGAAAAUAGAAAUAAUAUAUAUAUGUACAUAUAUAUACACACACACACAAUUUUAAAAGCCUUAAAAUGGUAACUAGAGUAGAAAAUAUCUAGGAAUAAACUUGACAUAAGAAAAGUAUGCAGGACCCAUAUAAAUAAAACUGUAAAACUUUUCUGGGAGACUUGAAGACUUAAAUAAAUGAUAGGGCAUACCACAUUCUUGGAUGGCAUAACUCAAUAAUUCAGCCAUUUCAAUUCUAAUAAAAAUGUCAGAAGUAUUUUUUUUUAACUAGACUAUAUAAUCCUAAGGUCACCUGGGAAGCUUAAUAAAAGGCCGAAGAAUUUUCAGACCAUUGAGAGGUGACUUACACUGCUAGAAAGAAAGAUUUAUUAUCAAAGCAGCAUGAUUCUUGUUUAAGAAUAGAAAUAGCCCCCAAAACAGGUUCAAGUAUAUACAUUUGGUUUAAGAUAAAGGUGGAAUUUAACAUUCUUAUGCUUCUUAAGGUACAGAAAGUUGCUAAGCACAUCAUUCCUACCCCAAUAAGGAGAAAAUGACAGAUAAACUGCAAAAUCAUUACUUGUGUAGAACUCAGAGAAGGAUAAGGAUGCGAGGCAGCCAAGUAGCCUCAUUCCAAAGAGAGAAAAGCCCCUCGAGGAAAGGUGAGCUUCACAAACUGUCUUUGCUCUGGGAGAGCAUAGGGAACAGAGGCACUGACACCGUCCCCAUGGGGAGAAUAAAUCAGCCGAAUAAUAUGCCAUCGGAGUUCCCGUCGUGUCGCAGUGGAAAUGAAUCCGACUAGGAACCGUGAGGUUGCAGGUUCAAUCCUUGGCCUCAUUCAGUGGGUUAAGGAUCCGGUGUUGCCGUGAGCUGUGGUGUAGGUUGCAGACAUGGUUCAGAUCUGGUGUUGCUGUGGCUGUGGCAUAGGCCUGCAGUUGCAGCUCCAACUGGACCCCUAGCCUGGGAACCUCCAUAUGCCGCGGGAGAGGCCCUAGAAAAGGCACAAAGACAACAACAACAACAACAACAAAAAGCUAUCAAAAGCCAUGUGUGGGUGAGCUAUAGAUGAGUAGAUGAGCCUUUACAUCUGGAUGAGCUGAGGUAGCAGAGGAGUUCCUACUCAGCUACAGACUCUUCCGCAGCCUUCCACCAGGUGCUCCAGCUCCCUCUGGGGGCCAGUCAGAGCGAGGCGAUCCAGGCAUGUUGGGGACAUAAAAUACCAGGGGCUUCCCUAUAUUUUUCUCCCUAGGAAUCAAAAGCUCUAAGCUCCUCGGGGUAGGGCAGCAAACUCAGUUGCCCGCAGGGUUCAAGGUGAUCGGUGGAUGUGGGGUCUAAGGUCCUGCCUGCCUUCCUGGACAGUCUUCCCUGGACAGUAGAGUACAGUCUCAAGUCUCCGUGCAGCAGAGCCCAUUACCCCCGGGGCAGUCAGACCAAGACGCAUUGCUUAGUAGCUGCCUGAAAAGCAUUUGAUGAUAUUAAACUUACAUUUAUGAUAAAAACUCAGCAGACUAGCAUUUCCUCAGCCUGAUAAAGGACAUCUACAAAGCCCUGUGGCUACCAUCAUACUUAACGGUGGAAGAUGGAAUGUAUUAGUUGCAGAACGUCCAUACAACGGAAUGCGUCUCGUCGAUAAAAUGGAUGAAUUACCGAUACAAGCAGCAACAUGGGUGAAUCUCAAAAGCAUUAUGGUAAAUGCAUACCUGCCCUGUGCCAGACCUUGUAGUAAGUGCUGGGACUGUGGAUCAAGGCGGGCCCCUGGUGCUGACCUCAGGCAUCUGGCCAGGUGCAGAUGAAGCCGUAAGCACCUGGGGGACUACGAAGAGACGGGAGAGCCGGAGGACUCUCUGCAAUGUGGCAUCUGGGAAGGGUCCUCCCGGAAGUGCCAUUUAUGCUGAGACCUGAAGUCUAAGGAGUGCUCGUCCUGCCGAGUACGAGGGGAGAAUGUUCCAGGCAAAGGCCCUGUGUGAAGAGGACACCUAGUUAGUCUGAGGAACUCAUGGACGUGCAGAGUGUGAGAAGCACAGAAGGACGGGGCGAGGGAGAGUGCGGCCCAAGCAGUUGGUGAAGACGCCGGCUUCAGAGAGGGGGCUCUGAGUGCAACGGGAAGCUUGAAGCUGAGGGGUGGCAGGACCCAGUGCCCAGUCUGGCCACCGAUGGAGAAUUGCCUGGAGGGGGCAGGCGUGAGUUGAUCCAGGGAAACAGGAGAGGGGAGGGAUCAGGGCUGGUUCCUAGCUCUCUGGCUGGAGCAGCCCUUUGAAUGGAUGUGCUAUAUGCUCAGGUGGGAAAUAGCAGAGGACCACUCUCUCUGGGGGCUUAAAUACUCAGAUUGUUUUUUAUUGUGGCAGGGUAUAUGUAUAAAACAUAAAAUCGACCAUUUAAAAUCAACACUUCUGUGGCACUAGGUACAGUCACAUUGUUGUGCCACCAACACCACUCUGCAUCAUCAAAACUUUUUCUUCUUCUCCAUCUGAAGCUCUGUACCCACUUAACACGAACUCCCCAUUCUCCCCUCCCCCAGCUUCCGGCAACCAUCACUCCACUUUUGUCUCUAUGAAUUUAAUUCUCUCGGUACCUCAUAUAAUCAUACAAUAUCUGUCCUUUGGUGACUGGCUUAUUUCACUCCAUAUAAUAUCUCCGAGGUUUAUCCAUGCUGUGGCAGGUGUCAGAAUAUCCCUUUUAAGGCUUAAAGCUGUUCCAUCGUGUGUAUAGGCCGUGUUUUAUUUAUUCCUCCAUCUGUUGAUGGGCAUUUGGGUUGCUUCCACCUUUCAGCUCUUUGUCAAUUAAUUAUGCUAUUACGAGCAUGGGUGUACAAAUAUUUGUCCAAGUUCCUCCUUUCACUUCUUUUGAGUGUGUAUCCAGAAGUGGAAUUGCUGGCUCAUAUGAUAGUUCUCUUUUAAGUUUUUGGAGAAAACUCCAAAUUAUUUUCCAUACUGACUGCAGCACUUCUGAUUCCCACUUAGAGUGCACAAGGGUUUCAAUUUCCUACUUACUUGCCAACGCUUGUUAUUUAUUUUCUUUAUAAUCUCUAUCUUAAGAGGUGUGAAGUGGUAUCUCAUUGUGGUAAAACAUUCGGAUUUUAAUUUUUUAUUUACUUAUUUAUUUAUUUAGGGCCACACCUGCAGCAUAUGAAAAUUCCCAGGAUAGGGGUGGAAUUGGAGCUACAACUGCCAGCCUACACUACAGCCACAGCAACUGCAGAUCCGAGUUGCGUCUGCAACCUGUACUGGAGCUCCUGGCAACACCAGAUCCUUAAUCUGCUGCGAGAGGCCGGGGAUGGAACCUGCAUCCUCAUGAUACUAGCUGGGUUCAAUUCUGCUGAGCCACAGUGGGAACUCCCCUCUGCCCCCCCUUUUUUAUUUUUAGAUGUUAUAUUUGAGAUGCCUUAGAGUUAUUUCUGUGGCACUGUCAGGUAAAUGGUUGGCUAUACCAAGUGAGAUUUCGAAGAGAGGUCCUCUGCCCACAGGUCAGUUUAAAUGCCACUGACCCAGGUGUGCAGCAGCCUCAUGUAAAUGCCUCACCAGGAUGGACCUUCUGUAUUUGUUCUAAGGCGUCCUACCCUGGUCAGUGUGCCUGCUAUUUGAAGAUGUGAGCAUUUGGGCAUUUGGGUUCACUUCUGGUAAACAAAUGACAUUUUCUGUGUGUUUCUCCCCUCUUUGAUCCCGACUUCAUCUCCAGGGGAAAUUAACCAAGAAUUACUAAAUAUGAUCUACAAAUAAAAGUGGUAGAAAGCUUCAGAAUGAGGGAAUUAUUGUUUCAGUCCUUGAAGGCAAGUCUAGCUGAAGUCAGGUAGGUUUGAUGAUCCUUUAGAAUAAAUGGAAGGCAUUUUUGGUUAUUUUUCCCUUUCUUGGUAACAAAGAAAAUGCAGCUCUAGAGUGUUUUUCAAUUUCUUUCUCAGCUCCCUUUCAUUCUCUGAUUUCUUUACUCUUAAUGGGAUAAUAUAAACCAGUUUUCUGUCGUCUAUUAUUCAUCAAAGCUGUCGAUUUAUCCUGCACAGAACGAAGGCCAGGCUGUUAUUAAAAUAAAACAACUUCCAAUUGAGCUGCUAAUAAAUGCUGAAACGCAU
rnacentral:lncRNA from 1 species